GCCUCACAUGGACUCCCAUUUCACGGUGGGCAUCUGAGAGCUCUGGAGACGGCCUUAGGCUAGUACGUGGGGAGGUCAGAAAAAGGGCCUGCUGUGGAGGGGGAAAAAGGCAGAACGAGAAAUCCCCCCAAUCAGAGGAGGUUCUGAACAGGCCCAGGAAAAAGAAAAUCUCCAUUAAUGUUAAAGAAAAACAGGUGGGAGUCUUACCCCGUAUAAACCAGCCUGUUGUAAGGCUGAGGAAGGCACCACGGUUUGCGGAGGGUUUUCUCCAUAGUUUCUGCAUCUUGAAGCCAGACCUUCUCCUCUUCACAUACAGCGAGGCAUCUCAGCCUGGGGACCUGUCCUCCUCCAUCCUGAAGGCACACUGAGCUGCUCUGGCAUUUGGAGACACCAGCCUAUGGUCUCCCCCAGAGGGCGUUUCUGGGUAAACAAGAUCCCCUGUGACCCACCCUUGGGUAUCUGUGCCAGAGACAAAUCUCAUCCUAUGAACUCACCUCUACUGAGAGGGUAAACACAGGAAGAACCUCCUUCAGAGUCAAUUUUCUUUCUAAGCAUUUCAUAUGCAAGUGACCUAAGAUUAAUUUUGGCUUAAAGACACUAUAAACAUCUCUGGGGCACUGGGUUUCAGCAGUUGUUUUUGUUAUACAGUGGAUGGAGCCCUAAGAGUGAGCCAGUAGAGUGCUAGGUCAGCGCUCCUCCACGUGCACAGGUGUGCUGGCUUCACAACCUUAUAAUGUUGAAAAUGUCAUCCUGACCAGACAAUGAGAGGAGAUGUGUAAAAGCACUAGGUGAGCUGUAUACCUUGAAACAAAUAUGAGGCAAUACUACAAGCCCAUGUAGUGUGUGAUCAUUGGUCCU
rnacentral:lncRNA from 1 species